GACGAACGCUGGCGGCGUGCUUAACACAUGCAAGUCGAACGGAAAGGCCCUGCUUUUGUGGGGUGCUCGAGUGGCGAACGGGUGAGUAACACGUGAGUAACCUGCCCUUGACUUUGGGAUAACUUCAGGAAACUGGGGCUAAUACCGGAUAGGAGCUCCUGCUGCAUGGGGGGGGUUGGAAAGUUUCGGCGGUUGGGGAUGGACUCGCGGCUUAUCAGCUUGUUGGUGGGGUAGUGGCUUACCAAGGCUUUGACGGGUAGCCGGCCUGAGAGGGUGACCGGCCACAUUGGGACUGAGAUACGGCCCAGACUCCUACGGUAGGCAGCAGUGGGGAAUAUUGCACAAUGGGCGGAAGCCUGAUGCAGCAACGCCGCGUGCGGGAUGACGGCCUUCGGGUUGUAAACCGCUUUCGCCUGUGACGAAGCGUGAGUGACGGUAAUGGGUAAAGAAGCACCGGCUAACUACGUG
rnacentral:rRNA from 1 species